UUUUGAAAUAUUUCAUCAACU
rnacentral:piRNA from 1 species